UUUCGGAUGGUAAAAAAAAUUCCUCCUCUCGACAAUAAAGAAACAGGAGAACUGAAAGGGGCGAUGUAAGAAUGAAGAAGGGCACUCCACCGCUUAGAAUGCUUUCCCGUUCGACGUUAGGAGCCGGCGGCGACUUCACCCGGCGAAGGUGGAUACCGCUCUCUUGUAGGGGCGGCGAGGUUCGAGCCAGCGGCGAGGUUCCACCAGGCGGGCAGGAGCGGCGCUCUCGGUUCUGUGAUGGGAGGCCGACGAUGAAGUGUCUGCGGGCGGUGGAGUGGUGACGCUGUGAUGGGAGACAGACGAUGAAGCGUCUGCCUAAUCUCACGGAGGAUGUUCGUGACCCACAAAAGAUGCUCAUGUGGAACGGAAGCCGCUCAUUCUAUAGUGCAACAGCGUCUAGUACUGGGCCCAGACUCGCUCGCUUGCUCAUUAUCCUGUGUUGCUGCUAUGGGAGAGAAGGGUACCAAUAAAGCAUAUUUAUUUUGAUUGGUGGCAGUCAAUUCACCAACUAUUUAUGAGGUCUCGUGCAUGGAUCCAUACAUUAGAAUCCAUAUUCGUGUAACUAGAUCUAGGUUCUGUUCAGAUCCAUGUAACUGGAUGUAUAUCUAUGAUCCACCUUUCUCUAUUUAAAUUAUAACCCAAGGCUCGAUUGUAAAAGCUCUAAAUGUAACAUUUUCUCUAGUUAAUUUCAUUUGUUUCUUUUUAGUUGUAAAUCAA